AAAGUCGUAACAAGGUUUCCGUAGGUGAACCUGCGGAAGGAUCAUUAAUAAUAGCGGGUCCUCUCGAAUUAGGAUGUCUGAACCCUUGAAUACAUAACUUUGUUGCUUUGGCGGGCCGCCUUCAGGCGUCGGCCUCGGCUGACAGCGCCCGCCAGGGGAUCACAACUCUUUGUUUAGUGAUGUCUGAGUACUAUAAAAUAUUUAAAACUUUCAACAACGGAUCUCUUGGUUCUG
rnacentral:misc_RNA from 1 species